GCCGGAGUGGCGAAACUGGUAAACGCUGUGGACUUAAAAUCCACCGGUGCAUGGCACCUUGCGGGUUCGACUCCCGCCUCCGGCACCA
rnacentral:tRNA from 1 species